rnacentral:tRNA from 1 species
AGCAGAAGGAAAAAGACCUCAUAAGCCUUUGGUCGGGUGUUCAAAUCACCUCCCUGCUACCA